rnacentral:sRNA from 1 species
CCGCCCGACUUGGGGGGAAGGCCCCGAGAUCCGUGCGGGCCCCGGGAGCGGGGGCGCCGGGGCGCCGGCCGGGUCGGGGGAGGCUACGCGGGGCGCUUCGCGGCGCGCCCUGAGCCUCCCGCUCUCCCUCCGCCCUGCAGACAGACCCCGGCUGCCCGACAACUACACGCAGGACACGUGGCGGAAGCUGCACGAGGCGGUGCGGGCCGUGCAGAGCAGCACCUCCAUCAGGUACAACCUCGAGGAGCUCUACCAGGCUGUGGAAAAUCUCUGUUCUCACAAAGUCUCCCCAAUGCUCUACAAGCAACUGCGUCAGGCCUGUGAAGACCACGUCCAGGCACAGAUCCUUCCGUUUAGAGAAGACUCACUAGAUAGUGUUUUAUUUUUAAAGAAGAUUAACACGUGCUGGCAGGACCACUGCAGACAAAUGAUCAUGAUCAGAAGCAUCUUCCUGUUCUUGGACCGCACCUAUGUGCUGCAGAACUCCACGCUGCCCUCCAUCUGCCAAAAUCAUUAACGUGAACGUAGGAGUCCAGGUGGGUCUUAGCCUUGAAACACCAGGUGUCUAGCCAGCAGCAAGGAGUGGAGCAGGAAGCUGGGACAGGCGGCUGACUUUGGUCAUGAGGGUGAAGACAGAGGGUCUUGGUUUCUCUCUGACGACUGGAGGUUGAGCCUGGAGCAGCUCUUUCCAGUGCUGCAGUUGAAACUCUGAGAAAGACUGCCUGCUGCCCGUGGGGUCGCAGCCCUGAGGCUGUGCGUCCCCUGUGGAAUGGCUUGCUCAGCCUCCCGGCCUCCUGAGCACAUAGCACUCAUCAUCCGUCAUCUUUCGGGGACUGUAUACACUAGGGGUUCUGGGGCCUUUCCUCAGCAGCAUUCACAGUCACUGACCCCUAC